AGGGCUAUACUUCAUCUACACUAACGUUAACUUUAAACCAAAUUCUACUCGAUACUCUGCUGAUUUCACCUAUCAGACGUGGUUCCAGUACGUCCACCGUCACUCAGCCCACAGCCCCGUGUUAUCUGGUGUCUUGUUGAGAACUGUUCACACAACUUGUGCCAACUGUACACACAGCCAGGAAACUUCUUACACAGGAGGAAUAUUUGACCUUCAAACUGGUGACAUCAUUCAAGUUCAUGUUUCAGGUCAAGGUCUUAUUGGUUUUGGACCAGGCAAAUCAUAUCUGGGCCUUUUUCUCUUAAGUUAAUUAUGUGUGGAUAGAGAGGAGCUAUCGAAAAGACAAGUCAAUUGGUUUAACUGUACUAUUUCUUUCUGUUUUGUUAGGAUAAAAUGUAAAAUCAAUCGUACUUCGGGUUUUCAAUAUUUUUUGUUGGUGUUGGAAAAUAAGUUCAAUAAGCUAAAAUAUCACUACAGUAUUAGAGAAUAGUUUAUUUUAAUUGUCACUUUCACUAUUCUAGUUUUAUUUUUAAAAUAAAAUGCACAGACAGAUUU